UACAGAGGAGCCAAGCGUUGUCCGGAUUGACUGGGCGUAAAGCGCACGCAGGCGGAUGCGCGCGUGGGGUGUGAAAUCUGGCCGCUUAACGGCCAGGCGCCAUCCCAUACGGCGCGUCUGGAGUGAUGCAGAGGUCGAUGGAAUUGCCGGUGUAGUGGUGAAAAUGCGUAGAGAUCGGCAGGAACACCCAGGGGGAAACCAGUCGACUGGGCAUCUACUGACGCUGAGGUGCGAGAGCGUGGGGAGCGAACCGG
rnacentral:rRNA from 1 species